AACGAACGCUGGCGGCAGGCUUAACACAUGCAAGUCGAGCGCCCCACAAGGGGAGCGGCAGACGGGUGAGUAACGCGUGGGAAUCUACCGUGCCCUGCGGAAUAGCUCCGGGAAACUGGAAUUAAUACCGCAUACGCCCUUCGGGGGAAAGAUUUAUCGGGGUAUGAUGAGCCCGCGUUGGAUUAGCUAGUUGGUGGGGUAAAGGCCUACCAAGGCGACGAUCCAUAGCUGGUCUGAGAGGAUGAUCAGCCACAUUGGGACUGAGACACGGCCCAAACUCCUACGGGAGGCAGCAGUGGGGAAUAUUGGACAAUGGGCGCAAGCCUGAUCCAGCCAUGCCGCGUGAGUGAUGAAGGCCCUAGGGUUGUAAAGCUCUUUCACCGGUGAAGAUAAUGACGGUAACCGGAGAAGAAGCCCCGGCUAACUUCGUGCCAGCCGCCGCUGUAAUAC
rnacentral:rRNA from 1 species